rnacentral:rRNA from 1 species
AAGAUUAAGCCAUGCAUGUCUAAGUAUAAGCAAUUAUACCGCGAAACUGCGAAUGGCUCAUUAUAUAAGUUAUCGUUUAUUUGAUAAUACUUUACUACUUGGAUAACCGUGGUAAUUCUAGAGCUAAUACAUGCUAAAAAUCCCGACUUCGGAAGGGUUGUAUUUAUUAGAUUAAAAACCAAUGCCCCUCGGGGCUCUCUGGUGAAUCAUGAUAACUAGUCGAAUCGACAGGCCUUGUGCCGGCGAUGGCUCAUUCAAAUUUCUUCCCUAUCAACUUUCGAUGUUUGGGUCUUGUCCAAACAUGGUGGCAACGGGUAACGGAGGGUUAGGGCUCGACCCCGGAGAAGGAGCCUGAGAAACGGCUACUACAUCCAAGGAAGGCAGCAGGCGCGCAAAUUACCCAAUCCCGACACGGGGAGGUAGUGACAAUAAAUACUGAUACAGGGCUCUUUUGGGUCUUGUAAUCGGAAUGAGUACAAUUUAAAUCCCUUAACGAGGAACAAUUGGAGGGCAAGUCUGGUGCCAGCAGCCGCGGUAAUUCCAGCUCCAAUAGCGUAUAUUAAAGUUGUUGUGGUUAAAAAGCUCGUAGUUGAACCUUGGGCCUGGCUGGCCGGUCCGCCUCACCGCGUGCACUGGUCCGGCCGGGCCUUUCCCUCUGCGGAACCCCAUGCCCUUCACUGGGUGUGGCGGGGAAACAGGACUUUUACUUUGAAAAAAUUAGAGUGCUCAAGGCAGGCCUAUGCUCGAAUACAUUAGCAUGGAAUAAUAGAAUAGGACGUGUGGUUCUAUUUUGUUGGUUUCUAGGACCGCCGUAAUGAUUAAUAGGGACAGUCGGGGGCAUCAGUAUUCAAUUGUCAGAGGUGAAAUUCUUGGAUUUAUUGAAGACUAACUACUGCGAAAGCAUUUGCCAAGGAUGUUUUCAUUAAUCAGGAACGAAAGUUAGGGGAUCGAAGACGAUCAGAUACCGUCGUAGUCUUAACCAUAAACUAUGCCGACUAGGGAUCGGACGAUGUUACAUUUUUGACGCGUUCGGCACCUUACGAGAAAUCAAAGUGCUUGGGCUCCAGGGGGAGUAUGGUCGCAAGGCUGAAACUUAAAGAA